GACGAACGCUGGCGGCGUGCUUAACACAUGCAAGUCGAACGGAAAGGCCCUGCUUUUGUGGGGUGCUCGAGUGGCGAACGGGUGAGUAACACGUGAGUAACCUGCCCUUGACUUUGGGGUAACUUCAGGAAACUGGGGCUAAUACCGGAUAGGAGCUCCUGCUGCAUGGUGGGGGUUGGAAAGUUUCGGCGGUUGGGGAUGGACUCGCGGCUUAUCAGCUUGUUGGUGGGGUAGUGGCUUACCAAGGCUUUGACGGGUAGCCGGCCUGAGAGGGUGACCGGACACAUUGGGAUUGAGAUACGACCCGGACUACUACGGGAGGCAGCGGUGGAGGAGAUAGCACAAUGGGCGGAAGCCUGAUGCAGCAACGCCGCGUGGGGGAUGACGGCCAUCGGGUAGGAACGCGCUUUCGCCUGUGACGAAGCGAGAGUGACGGUAAUGGGUAAAGAAGCACCGGCUAACUACGUG
rnacentral:rRNA from 1 species